GGGUUGAACCGUGCCCCCGCUCCAGCACUGCAGCGGUAAAAGCUAAAUUUGAAAUCUGGUACUUUCAGUGCCCGAGUUGUAAUUUGUAGAAUUUGUCUUUGAUUAGGUCCUUGUCUAUGUUCCUUGGAACAGGACGUCAUAGAGGGUGAGAAUCCCGUUUGGCGAGGAUACCUUUUCUCUGUAAGACUUUUUCGAAGAGUCGAGUUGUUUGGGAAUGCAGCUCAAAGUGGGUGGUAAAUUCCAUCUAAAGCUAAAUAUUGGCGAGAGACCGAUAGCGAACAAGUACAGUGAUGGAAAGAUGAAAAGAACUUUGAAAAGAGAGUGAAAAAGUACGUGAAAUUGUUGAAAGGGAAGGGCAUUUGAUCAGACAUGGUGUUUUUUGCAUGCACUCGCCUCUCGUGGGCUUGGGCCUCUCAAAAAUUUCACUGGGCCAACAUCAAUUCUGGCAGCAGGAUAAAUCAUUAAGAAUGUAGCUACUUCGGUAGUGUUAUAGCUUUUUGGAAUACUGUUAGCCGGGAUUGAGGACUGCGCUUCGGCAAGGAUGUUGGCAUAAUGGUUAAAUGCCGCCCGUCUUGCAACACGGACUUUGAUAUGCACA
rnacentral:rRNA from 1 species